rfam:Heligmosomoides polygyrus genome assembly, scaffold: HPBE_contig0002051
GCGCCGGUGGUGUAAAGGCGUAGAGCAUUCCCGCCCGGUCAGAGGGAGGUGCAGGUUCGAGUCCCGCCUGGCGCU